AAACACAAUAGGGUCACUUAUUCAUAUUUCUAAUUUCAUAUCAUCAAGUUCCUUGUUGAGGAGAACGUGUUUGGUUCAACGUUCAUUCGUGGAAUUCGAUUCGUCAGGAGGCAUGGUGAAAUAGGAGCACGCACUAACAUACUCGUGAAAACAACACGCAAUUACGUAGUAGACAACUAAUAUCGCCGCAUACACGAAUUCAAGUACGACCAGUCACCACAAGUAGCACCCAUUCACGAGUAUGACGCAUGGCCAGCCAUCGGUCCACUCGAUUACUGAUAUUUGGUGACAUAACACUGGCGGAAAGAGGAGAGUUUGAAUUAGAAAAUUCAUUCAGAUUCACAAAUUCAUACUGAUAGAAGAUACAAAUAAAUAAAUCAAACAUGAAUGUCGGCAAUUACAAACUGCCUGUUAAACCCAAAUUUGAAAAUGUAGCACUUAGUGAUCACUUAAAACCCACGUCUUUCGGUCACGAAAGACUUAGUACGUAUAAGCAAAACAAUUGGAAUAAUAUUACAAACACGUGUGGUUGGACAGAUACUUAUUACAAUAAUCCCUAUCCGUCUUAUCCAACGCUUAACAAAAUAUUACCUUAUUUCAAUAACAACUAUUAUUCAUAUCCACCACCGCCGCCUCCCCCACCUCCCCCACUUAUGGAACAGGUUAUGCCUGACCUAAAACAUGCUCCAUUACCUAAUAAAGACAUUAAACAUGUCAAACCUAUACCAAUGAAACACACGAAUGUUAAAAAGAAGCCUGAGCUAAAAAAUAGUUUAGGGAACUCGCAGAAAUCAGAGAUUAAAACGAGUAAAUUAAUUGAACAGCCAUACUCACCUCCUGUUCUACCCAUACCGACAUUUUACGAUGUUUUUAAACUUUUGGAUAAAAGAUCGGAAGUAUAUAAUAAAUCAAGAUUGCGGGUAAAAAGAGGUGAACGAGCGGUGGUAUCAGGAGAUUGUAUUCCUAAAAAAAUUACACUACACGACUAUUUAUCAAAAAAAAAAGCCAACGAAAGAGUUUAAUGAAGGAGAAUGAUAAAAGAAUAUUAUAAAAAAUAAGUACAUUAUAUUAAUGAUAUAAAAUAGCAACAUGUUUAAUAAUGGGGUUGAUAAAUAUUUUACGACUUUUUUAAAAUAAUUAUUCAUAUUCCGUAUAAAGUGGCUUCUACCACGUCAAUGGAAGAAUUCUGAACAGGAUACCAUAGGAAAAUAUAUUUUGUAAAUUAUGUUUUCUUAAUUCUGUAUUAUUGGUUUUAUAAUUUUAAUAAAAUGAAAAUGUGCAAUCUUAGAAAUAAAAAGUUAAACCAUAGAUGCAUAUAAAUUUACAGUUGACGUAAUUUUUUUCGCUGUCUAGUUGUCUUUUUAUGUACUGGGUUUAUAUUUCUUAGAAAAAUGUGAAAAAAGCAAUUUGUUAUUAUAGGAACACCAAUCUACAUUUUUAUUAUAAAGCAUAGCUCUCACAGCUAUACCUAGCUCAGCAAAGCGAAAUGCUUAGUAAAAGCUAUUAUAUUAAUUGUAUAUAUAUAUAUAUGUUACAACAAGAUAGGGAUGUAAAAUGUUUAUGAAUUAUGAAAAGAAUAUUUAUGCACAAUAAUUUAUCUUCAGCUAUCAAUCUGACAAGGUAGUGGUAGUGACUAGUAUUAGAAGGAUCCUUAGGCCGAUUCAAGAAUCGAUAUAUAGGGCUAUGUAUAAUUUACAUCUGAAAAGUUUUUACUUUAAUACAAAGUAUUCUGACAUGCCAAAAAUAUUUCAUAUAUUUAUUUAUAGAUUAAGCUCAGCUCAUCUAGCGUAACUAAUAACGUAAAAUUAGAAUAAAUAAUAAUUUAUUGGCUCGAGUCUGGUAUGGUGUACUAUGUUUUGAGGUGUAAAAUAAAUUAAUAUCGUAAAUAAAUAAGUGUUACCAUGUAAUAUGUGAAGCUUAUCACGGAAGGAAAAGAAGGCUGUGGAUGCCUUCUGCCCCAUCCAGAGGUCGUAGGAUAUUAAGUAUUAGAAAUGUCUUAAUAGUAAAUCAUUAGCUGUAAACAUCAAAUAUUUUUUAUACAAAUUAUUUAUAUUAAAACCUACGGUUAAAAACGCUUAGUGUACUGGUGACUUGGUUGGACUGACGAAUGGGUUUCGCUACAAAGCCAGGAAAUGUUGCCAGCAUUUAAGUAGACUAGCACACAAUACUUUUAAGCUAUUGCAUAGAUUUUAUCGCGGGCUUUGAGCGCGGCGACCGAAUCAAGAAAUUCCGUAACGAAAAAAUCCUAACACUGAUCGGUGACGUAGCAAGCGCGGCCGGUGCAGCCGGUACCCGUGAGAGUGAGACGGACUAUAUAAGGGGUGUCUGAGUGUGGUAGAUAGAUUGAAUUAAUAUCAUACUGCAUAAAAAUAAAUAAAUGUUUGCAUCAAUUGCUAAAAAAUGCUAUGCAAUAGCUUUACCGCGGCAGUCCCCGAGUGCCACACGUAUUUUUUUAAAUUGAUUUUAGUUCUCUAUUUACCGAUUUUUGAUCAUUAGGUUAAGAAUAUUGUAAAUGUUUAUAUUUAUAUAGUAGUAAAAAGCUAAGUAUAGUUUAGUUGAUAUUAAAUCAAUUGUAUAUUUUUGUGUUAAUUAUAAAAAAAUUA